rnacentral:rRNA from 1 species
AACGCUAGCUACAGGCUUAACACAUGCAAGUCGAGGGGCAGCAUGGACUUAGCUUGCUAAGUCCGAUGGCGACCGGCGCACGGGUGAGUAACACGUAUCCAACCUGCCGAUGACUCGGGGAUAACCUCUCGAAAGAGAGACUAAUACCCGAUGGCAUGGGACCUCCGCAUGAAGGUCCCAUUAAAGAAUUUCGGUCGUCGAUGGGGAUGCGUUCCAUUAGUUUGUUGGCGGGGUAACGGCCCACCAAGACUGCGAUGGAUAGGGGUUCUGAGAGGAAGGUCCCCCACAUUGGAACUGAGACACGGUCCAAACUCCUACGGGAGGCAGCAGUGAGGAAUAUUGGUCAAUGGACGAGAGUCUGAACCAGCCAAGUAGCGUGAAGGAUGACUGCCCUAUGGGUUGUAAACUUCUUUUAUAAGGGAAUAAAGUUCGGCACGUGUGCCGUUUUGUAUGUACCUUAUGAAUAAGGAUCGGCUAACUCCGUGCCAGCAGCCGCGGUAAUACGGAGGAUCCGAGCGUUAUCCGGAUUUAUUGGGUUUAAAGGGAGCGUAGGCGGGCGUUUAAGUCAGUUGUGGAAGUUUGCGGCUCAACCGUAAAAUUGCAGUUGAUACUGGAUGCCUUGAGUACGGCAGAGGUAGGCGGAAUUCGUGGUGUAGCGGUGAAAUGCUUAGAUAUCACGAAGAACUCCGAUUG